GCCUGGGUAGCUCAGUCGGCAGAGCAUCAGAGCUUUACUCUGAGGGUCCAGGGUUCGAGUCACUGUCCAGGCA
rnacentral:tRNA from 1 species